rnacentral:tRNA from 1 species
GGGCGUGUAGCUCAGUCUGGUUGGAGCACACGACUGAUAAUCGUGCGGUCGACGGUUCAAAUCCGUCCAUGCCCA